rnacentral:rRNA from 1 species
UACGUAGGGGGCGAGCGUUGUCCGGAUUCAUUGGGCGUAAAGAGCUCGUAGGCGGCUUGGCAAGUCGGGUGUGAAAACUCCAGGCUCAACCUGGAGACGCCACCCGACACUGCCAUGGCUAGAGUCCGGUAGGGGACCACGGAAUUCCUGGUGUAGCGGUGGAAUGCGCAGAUAUCAGGAGGAACACCGGUGGCGAAGGCGGUGGUCUGGGCCGGAACUGACGCUGAGGAGCGAAAGCGUGGGGAGCGAACAGG